UUUCAUAUUUAGCAAAGCAUUCGAAAGGAUGUGACGCAAAGCUAUAGGGACUGUAAAAUGUCAGCCAGUUGCAAAU
rnacentral:ncRNA from 1 species